AAACAUUUUAACUCUGAUUUUUUUAAAAAAAAACCCUUAAAGUUUUGAAAUCCCCUCACUCUCCUCUCUGCUCUUCACCUAAAGGCCUAUGCCCAGGCCUUCAACCGCCCCAAAAGUCGCCUGCGACCAGCGAAGUAGGGCCCUCCACCGGUGCGAGCACGGUGCGCGGUGCGUGAGCAAGCACGUUUCUGACGUGGAGUGGUGGUGUCGCGCACAUCGCGGAGUGGCAGCGUCCGGCGCGCGAUGCAUUUGCUAAAACGGAGUAAAGGGGUUUGGGGGCUAAGGUUUCAAAUUAGCCAAAACUGUUUUAGGCUUGUGGGGCAAUUGGGUCGUAGGUUUUAGUUUGGGUCUGGGUCUAUUUUUUGUUGGGUUUUGGGCUGCUUGGGUAGUGUUUUUAUUUUUGCUUGUAUGUUUAAUUUUUAAAUGGUUUGGGCCGGGCAAUUUUUUGUUUUGGGCCUUACAUGGUACUUAUGGUUUUUUUUGUCCCAAAUUGAUACCGUAACUUUUUUUCGUCCACUA